CACUGCCCUACUGCCGCAAAAUUCUCUUGGACUGCCACUGAGUUCGCGGCCGUGUGCAUCAAAAACUCGUCCGCCAGGAAAAAGCGCCGGAGAAGGCAAGCCCAAUCGACCGCCGGUCACACCUGCCGCCGCUCCCAAUGCUGCUCUGAGCGAAUGAAUCGGUAAGCACGCAGCCAGUCUCCAAGCACUGCAACUUGCAACGAAAACCUCUGUCCCUGACCAGCACUGCACGGGAACAGUCUUGAGAAAUCAGUGA